AAACAACAAGGCUAAAGAUGUCCGCAGGGCUCUCCAGAGGGUGGUGCGGUCUGCACAACGCAUCACUGGGGGCAAACUACCUGCCCUCCCGGACACCUACAGCACCCGAUGUCGCAGGAAGGCAAAAAAAGAUCAUCAAGGACAAUAACCACCCGAGCCACUGCCUGUUCACCGCGCUUCCACCCAGAAGGCGAGCAUGGACAUUUCCGUUGAGGGAUUCCAUAAUUUUAAAGUAGUCAACUGGGUGGGGAUUCCUGAGUUUGGACCAAUCAGCCAAUGAAGAUAACCUCAAUGGCACUGCCCAUGCUGUUACAGAUGCUAUAAUGGCACAGAUACAAAGAUGAGUCCUAUAUCUAUCUCUAUGACCUGUUGUUCACAUGCCUAUCUGCCCUCUCAUUGGCUAGAAUUGUCCCAGCUGAUCUUGCCUCCUCCCGCCUGCCUUCCAUCUUUGAGGCCAUGUAUUUCCAUUGCUAGUGGUCACUCGAAUAUCUUGUCAAUAUAAUAGCCCAUCUUUGAUCAAACCCAUCAUUCUCUUAGGCAGUAGUUCCCAACUCCGGUCCUCAACUACCCCAAACCGGACACAUUUCUGUUGUGGUCCCGAACAGCGCACCUGAUUGUACUUGGCAACUAAUCAUCAACCCCUUGACAAGUUGAAUGAGAUGUGUUUGACUGGGGCUUCAACAAUAAUGUGUACUGUUGGGGGUAUUCGAGGACCAGAGUUGGGAAUCAAUGCCUAAGAUGAAGCAAAUCAAAGCCCCACCUACAGUCAAUAUUUUUGGAAGCCAAAUACCCCAGGAUCCCUGAGUUCUAAUUGUAAUACUCCAGGGGCUUUAUUGUUUGUGAAAAUAAUCCUGCUCUCCAAGAAAUGGUAGAAACAGUAAACAUGCUAAAUAAAUCAUGUUUUUUUUCUCCCCUUUUUUUUCUCCCCUCGUCUCCGAGGCACCAUGCAGUGCUGUCUUUUUGAAAGCAAACCUGAGCGGAUGGGCCAACAACGCCUGUUUCAUCUAGUCAUCCAGUGCCUGACGAGAUCUGACUGGCCCGGUACCGAGUGAGAUCUCAAGAGUCAACGCUCGCCACGGCAAUCCAUCGGCCUCCAUAAACAAACGGAGCCAAACGUCAUCAGAUGUUGGCGUUGUUGCUUGUUCUGAGCAGUGGAAGGUGUGGUGGUAGAUUUAGCUUUGAUUUUAGAAGAGUUAGAUGUAAAUAUGUGAAGUGGAGACUAAUUAAAUUUGAAGUUAAGUCAGUCUUUUGGAUGCUCAACGUCAGUGUGGCCAUAUAUUCUGUCAAUUUCCAUAAAACACCAGUGUUGUAUUAUGUGGAUGAGCCACACAAUUUCUCUAUUUGUAUUCUUGAAAGACUGGCUAUUGGA
rnacentral:lncRNA from 1 species